GGAUAGCUCAGUUGGUAGAGCAUGAGACUCUUACGUUCAAGGUUGCGGGUUCGAGCCCCUUGUUGGGCA